rnacentral:rRNA from 1 species
GACGAACGCUGGCGGCGUGCUUAACACAUGCAAGUCGAACGGAAAGGCCCUGCUUUUGUGGGGUGCUCGAGUGGCGAACGGGUGAGUAACACGUGAGUAACCUGCCCUUGACUUUGGGAUAACUUCAGGAAACUGGGGCUAAUACCGGAUAGGAGCUCCUGCUGCAUGGUGGGGGUUGGAAAGUUUCGGCGGUUGGGGAUGGACUCGCGGCUUAUCAGCUUGUUGGUGGGGUAGUGGCUUACCAAGGCUUUGACGGGUAGCCGGCCUGAGAGGGUGACCGGCCACAUUGGGACUGAGAUACGGCCCAGACUCCUACGGGAGGCAGCAGUGGGGAAUAUUGCACAAUGGGCGGAAGCCUGAUGCAGAAGCGCCGCGUGCGGGAUGACGGCCUUCGGGUUGUAAACCGCUUUCGCCUGUGACGAAGCGUGAGUGACGGUAAUGGGUAAAGAAGCACGGGCUAACUACGUG